CUCCACGGGACGGAAGAGGCGCCAACUGCGAGGGCGGCGUGGCGGCCUACCUGCGCCCCACGUGGCGAGCUUUAGGUCCCACCGAUGUGCUCGGGCGCGUGGGGCGCAGUGUGGCUCCAGCCUGGAUUUGAGAGGACUUGGGCUUUUGCCGCAAGUUCGGGGCCGCGGCAAAACUUGCGGCUGAGGACUUGCAGCCUCAGCGCGAGGUGACAGAGUGGAAGGAAAUGACAAGAAGUGAAAACAAGGACACUGAUCAUCGCUAGGCCCUAAUGUUCUGAUUCACUGUGACAGGACAAAGGUCUGUAUGGCGUGUCAUUACCUGGGUUUGAUGUCACUGGAGUUCUCUUCCAACGUCUUUGAAUUUUUAAGCCUUUUUGGCAGUUCGACUUGAGCUUAAAGUUGGGUGCUGAAUUCUUCAAUUAUCUUCAGUGAUCACUACUAUAAAUGUAUAGCUUCAGGUAGCUUUAAAUAAUUAAAUGUAGCAUUUCUUUCUUCUGUUGAAGUCUCAGAGAUUAAAAGAAUUCUUGAUCAUUUUUGUGACAAUUAAAGACCCAAGUGGAGAUGUAGGAGUGGGGCUGGUGGUCGUAGUGUAACAAGAUGACAUGUUAUUUCCCUAAAACACACACAAAAGUUCACUUCUGGAAAAUAAAAACAAAACAAACGAUAGGACCAAAUAGUUUUUCUUCAUAUAUCACACACACUUGUUGUUUUACAAUUUAAAAUUGUAUCUUAGAAGUUAAAAUUUUCUAGUGUUUUGUGCCACACAUGUAAGUAUAAUCAAUUAGAAAAUGAACCCUAAAAAUAAGCCACCAACACCAAAUACGAGUGAAGAUGUAGAGCAACAGGAAGUCUCAUUCCUUGCUGGUGGUAAUGCAGUUUAGAAAAUAGUCUGGCAAAGCUGUCCGCAGCGGCCGGCCGGCAAGGGUCCCAUAUGGUGCAGCAGACCUCUCCUGCCUCGCCCGCUGCUCCCCUCAGUCUGCCUGUUCUUUUCCCCACUCUGUCUCUGGUGAAUCCUCUCACCCUCCCGCGCAUCUGGCCUGUACCCCGGUUCUUGUAUAAAAAUAAAUAAAUAAAUCUUUUUAAAAAAGAGAGAGAGAAGAAAAGAAAAUAGUCUGGUACUUUCAUUCAAAAGGAAACAUACUCUUACCCCAAGAUCCAACAAUCAUGCUUACUGGUAUUUACCCAGAGAAGUUGAAAAUAGGUCUUUGAGUUUUAAAUGAGUUCAAGGGUGUUGGAACUUACCAAAUAAGUUGUCAUUUUCAGUGGUACAGAGAAAACUGUACUCUCAUGAUGAUCAUCGUGAACAGUUCUAGAUCCCAAGGAUACGUAGACACAGGGCCUGGCCAGGUAUUAAUAGAGAAAGUACAGUGAGAAACCGGCCUUGAGAAGGGAGCUUACUGUACAGAAGAGGGUAAACACAAAGUAUUUACCUAUCAGAAGUAUGAAACAAGUUUAGGGUCUUCAUCUAUACUGAAGCUGUAGAUCACACUCUAAUUUUCUUACAAAACUGUGACCUGAGAAGGAAAAAAAAAAGUAUCAUUAAUACCUUUGUCAUAAUAAAAAUCAAUUCCCCUAGAUAUGGC